AUGGAGAAUAAAAACUAUCAUUCAGUGCCCUGCAAUGCUGGUGGUCACAAGAUGUACCAUCCCAAGAUGUGUACACUCGUGCUGGUAGCCGGCUUCUUACUCCAGAUUGAGCGACGAGAAGGAAUUAGCCCUCUGCGUCCUUCACAAGAUUGGUCUUCGACACCAACCCAUCAUUGCGUGGGAACCCUAUAUAGAUAGGGCACCUUGGUAUGACCUAAGAUCGAGCCAAUUCAAAGACGGGGAUUUGAACCCAGAAGAACCAUCUCCAUUUCUAUUUAGCAAACCAAUGACCUUGCUCUUCUUCUAAUCCACCUACCCAAUACCAAAGAAAGUUAUUCCGUUAGGCUCUAUAAGCCCGAAGCGAAGAUAUAAAGCUUUACGAAUAGAUCCGCGGAAAGUAAUUAAUUCAAGAAAGCCUGUGCAAUCUCUAA